CCUACGGGAGGCAGCAGUAGGGAAUCUUCGGCAAUGGACGGAAGUCUGACCGAGCAACGCCGCGUGAGUGAAGAAGGUUUUCGGAUCGUAAAGCUCUGUUGUAAGAGAAGAACGAGUGUGAGAGUGGAAAGUUCACACUGUGACGGUAUCUUACCAGAAAGGGACGGCUAACUACGUGCCAGCAGCCGCGGUAAUACGUAGGUCCCGAGCGUUGUCCGGAUUUAUUGGGCGUAAAGCGAGCGCAGGCGGUUAGAUAAGUCUGAAGUUAAAGGCUGUGGCUUAACCAUAGUACGCUUUGGAAACUGUUUAACUUGAGUGCAAGAGGGGAGAGUGGAAUUCCAUGUGUAGCGGUGAAAUGCGUAGAUAUAUGGAGGAACACCGGUGGCGAAAGCGGCUCUCUGGCUUGUAACUGACGCUGAGGCUCGAAAGCGUGGGGAGCAAACAGGAUUAGAUACCCUGGUAGUCCACGCAGUAAACGAUGAUAACUGGGCGUAUGCGAUAUACAGUAUGCUCCUAAGCGAAAGCGUUAAGUUAUCCACCUGGGGAGUACGCCGGCAACGGUGAAACUCAAAGGAAUUGACGG
rnacentral:rRNA from 1 species